rnacentral:tRNA from 1 species
UAUAUUUUAGUGUACGAUGCACGAAGAAUUUUGAUUUCUUAGGGUUUAGUUUAAUUCUAAAAAAUAUAA